rnacentral:rRNA from 1 species
UUAAAAGCUUUUUAAAGUAUCAAUUGGAGGGCAAGUCUGGUGCCAGCAGCCGCGGUAAUUCCAGCUCCAAUAGCGUAUAUUAAAAUUGUUGCAGUUAAAAAGCUCGUAGUUGAAUUUCUGUUAAAAAUAACCGGUCUGCUUUUAUUAUUAGUAAAAGUGGUAUCUUGGCUUUUUUUUUAGCAAUAAUGUCCUUGGAGAUGUUUUUUACUUACUUUAUUGUAAUAAAUUAUGUUGAGGAUUUUUACUUUGAGAAAAUUAGAGUGUUUCUAGCAGGCUAACGCUUUGAAUACUGCAGCAUGGAAUAAUAAAAUAGGAUUUUGGUUCUACAUUAUUGGUUUUAARAACUAAAUUAAUGAUUGAUAGGGACAGUUGGGGGCAUUUGUAUUUAACUGUCAGAGGUGAAAUUCUUAGAUUUGUUAAAGACAAACUACUGCGAAAGCAUUUGCCAAAGAUGUUUUCAUUAAUCAAGAACGAAAGUUAGGGGAUCGAAGACGAUCAGAUACCGUCGUAGUCUUAACUAUAAACUAUGCCGACU